rnacentral:lncRNA from 1 species
UUUAAAAGUGUGUGGCACUUCCUCCCUCUCUCCGUCUCUCUCCUGCUUCACCAUGGUCAGACGUGCUUGCUUCCCCUUUGCCUUCUGCUUGUAAGUUGCCUUCUGAUUGUAAGUUUCCUGAGGAUUCUCCUGUUAAGCCUGAAGAACUAAUUCUAAAUUUGUGGACUACAGAACCUCUAAGAAGUUAGCUACAUUAUCCUACAUGAUCCCAAUGAAAUGAUCUCCUCUUCAAUGACUGGGUGAAGAAGCGAAGACAAGCUACUCAGUUUUGCCAUCGCCCAGCCAUUCUUCCUCUCCUCUCUCUUGCCUAUAGAAAUAAAGGCAAUUUGAACAACUUGGAAAAACCCAUAACUUCCCUCUUUUUCUGUGAUACAUGCACAGGGAGCUUGAAUCCAAUUCUCAGUGCCCACACUCCUUAGUAGCUGGCAGGGGUCAACGCCCCCCUCUCUCUGACCUCCAGCAGUGAGGUCUUGGAGCCUCAGCUCUUGCAGCCUGAAUCUCUCCAUCUGCAGUCUAUCUACAUCCCCAACACAGCUGGGCUCUGCUGGGCAGGAUUAUUGCCAGUCAUCUCCAACUCGCCAAACCUUCAGAAGGGCAGCUGGGACACAAGAACUUUCCUGGGAAUUUCCUGGCCGCCAGCUCAGAUACUGUAUCCUUGUUUGCUGAGCUAAAGCUAGUAAAGAUUGGCAAAGAUAAAUUAGCAACAAAUCCAUGAGGAUUGCGUGUCUCAUCCAAUCAUUUGCCCAACACUGAUUCCAAGUAACAUUCAACUUUGUCUCUAACGAGCUAACAGAUGUGGGCAUUACC